CAGUCGCCGCGGGAAAACGAAGGGGGCUAGCGUUGUUCGGAAUUACUGGGCGUAAAGCGCACGUAGGCGGAUCGAUCAGUCAGGGGUGAAAUCCCAGGGCUCAACCCUGGAACUGCCUUUGAUACUGUCGAUCUGGAGUAUGGAAGAGGUGAGUGGAAUUCCGAGUGUAGAGGUGAAAUUCGUAGAUAUUCGGAGGAACACCAGUGGCGAAGGCGGCUCACUGGUCCAUUACUGACGCUGAGGUGCGAAAGCGUGGGGAGCAAACAGGAUUAGAUACCCCAGUAGUCCCUGUCUCUUAUAC
rnacentral:rRNA from 1 species